rnacentral:rRNA from 1 species
GUGCAGCAGUCGAGAAACCUUCGCAAUGCAGGAAACUGCGACGAGGGAACUCCAAGUGGCCUACGCUCAGCCGUAGGCUGUUCUCAAGCCUAGAAAGCUUGAGGAGUAAGGGCUGGGUAAGACGGGGUGCCAUCUGUGGUAGCAGUCAAUAGAUUCGAUUUGUUACUGCAAGGCAUAAGCCGCCGCGGUAAUACCCGCAGGCCCAAGUGGUGGCCGCUUUUAUUGGGGCCUAAAGCGUCCGUAGCCGGCCCGGUAAAUGCCUGGGUAAAUCGUGGAGCCCAACUUCACGAA